GGCUCCUUUAAUCCAGUUAAUAAAGUAGCCAAUUGUAAUCCAAUUAGGAAAAAAGAAAACACCAAUAAAAAAAAGAAGAAGAAGAAGAAGAAGCC